rnacentral:rRNA from 1 species
GAUGAACGCUGGCGGCGUGCCUAAUACAUGCAAGUCGAGCGAACGGACGAGAAGCUUGCUUCUCUGAUGUUAGCGGCGGACGUGUGAUUAACACGUGGCUAACCUACCUUUAAGACUGGGAUAACUUCGGGAAACCGGAUCUAAUACCGCAUAAUAUUUUGAACCGCAUGGUUCAAAAGUGAAAGACGGUCUUGCUUUCACUUAUAGACGUAUCCGCGCUGCAUUAGCUAGUUGGUAAGGUAACGGCGUACCAAGGCAACGAUGCAUAGCAGACCUGACAGGGUGAACAGCCACACUAGAACUGAGAGACGGUCCAGAAUCCUAAGGGAGGCAGCAGUAGGGAAUCUGCCGCAAUGGGCGAAAGCCUGACGAAGCGACGCCGCGUGAGUGAAGAGGGUCUUCGGAUCGUGAAGCUCUGUUAUGAGGGAAGAACAGAUGUGUAAGUAGAUGUGGACAGCUUGACGGUACCUAAACAGAAAGAGAAGGCUAACUACGUG